rnacentral:rRNA from 1 species
UCGCACCUACCGAUUGAGUGGUCCGGUGAAUAAUUCGGACUGCAGCAAUGUUCAGCUUCUGAAUGUUGCAGUGGAAAGUUUAGUGAACCUUAUCACUUAGAGGAAGGAG